UUUUAGCUACGAGUCCAUUUACUCGCCUAAAAACCACGCCCGUGUGUCAUGUCCCAUGUUGUGAUAUUACGUUCUUAUGAUGUGUUGUGCUUGUGCUCGUCAUGUAUGCUUUGUAACGUUAAUCUCCCAAGGUGUGUUGUUUGGUUAGUUAUGUAAGGUUGGUCAAGCGUUUCGAUUGGUUGGUUCUAGUGGUCAGUUUCGCGGGGUUUUCUUUGUCUCUGGCGGGUUGUGUCAGUACCCUUCGUGGACUCGUAGGUGACAAGACGUACCUUUUGACAACUAGUGCUAUAUCGCUGAAGUUGUUCAUCAUAAAUGCAAGUUGGUGUAUGGCUCUGUGCCACGACACAGGGUGUUUCACUCAAUUUGUCAAAUAAAAGAUGACAAGAUAACUCAAGAGGUUGUGGUCUUCUGUACCCCAAUUACCCCCUCUGCCAC